rnacentral:sRNA from 1 species
AGAUGCACAGGCGGAGAAGCAGGAGCUGUCGGGAAGAUCAGAAGCCAGUCAUGGAUGACCAGCGCGACCUUAUCUCCAACAAUGAGCAACUGCCCAUGCUGGGCCGGCGCCCUGGGGCCCCGGAGAGCAAGUGCAGCCGCGGAGCCCUGUACACAGGCUUUUCCAUCCUGGUGACUCUGCUCCUGGCUGGCCAGGCCACCACCGCCUACUUCCUGUACCAGCAGCAGGGCCGGCUGGACAAACUGACAGUCACCUCCCAGAACCUGCAGCUGGAGAACCUGCGCAUGAAGCUUCCCAAGCCUCCCAAGCCUGUGAGCAAGAUGCGCAUGGCCACCCCGCUGCUGAUGCAGGCGCUGCCCAUGGGAGCCCUGCCCCAGGGGCCCAUGCAGAAUGCCACCAAGUAUGGCAACAUGACAGAGGACCAUGUGAUGCACCUGCUCCAGGUGAGUGCAGGGAGCUAGCUGGGUGGCCCUGCCUGCCCACCCAGGACCCUGGCCGGGCCAAGCUCCAAGGCCUGUAUACCUGGCUCAUGGCAGACUUUCAACAUGUGCUCUCUGGAUUACUGAAUACAAGGGUGACCCUUAAAUGUUAUAUGUAGUCUGGCCUCUGCAUUUUUGAGAUAAACAGGCUCGGCUGGGUGCAGUGGCUCAUGCCUGUAAUCUCAGCACUUUGGGAGGCCUAGGCGGGCAGAUCACCUGAGGCCAGGAGUUCGAGACCAGCCUGG